rnacentral:rRNA from 1 species
CUACGGGGCGCUGCAGUGAGGAAUAUUGCACAAUGGGGGGAACCCUGAUGCAGCAACGCCGCGUGGAGGAUGACGCAUUUCGGUGUGUAAACUCCUUUUAUAUGUCAAGAAAAUGACGGUAGCAUAUGAAUAAGCACCGGCUAGACUCCGUGCCAGCAGCCGCGGUAAUAAGGAGGGUGCAAGCGUUACUCGGAAUCACUGGGCGUAAAGGACGCGUAGGCGGGUUGGAAAGUCAGGUGUGAAAUCCUACAGCUUAACUGUAGAACUGCACUUGAAACUUCUAAUCUAGAGUAUGGGAGGGGGAGAUGGAAUUAGUGGUGUAGGGGUAAAAUCCGUAGAUAUCACUAGGAAUACCUAAAGCGAAGGCGAUCUCCUGGAACAUUACUGACGCUAAGGCGUGAAAGCGUGGGGAGCAAACAGGAUUAGAUACCCGCGUAGUC